AACGCACAUUGCGCCCCCUGGUAUUCCGGGGGGCAUGCCUGUUCGAGCGUCAUUGCAACCCUCAAGCCCGGCUUGUGUGAUGGACGACCGUCCAGCCUUACGGCGGGACGCGCCCGAAAUGCAGUGGCUAGGCCGCGAUUCCGGCGCCUGAGCGAAUGGGACUUCCAACGCUUUCUAGGACCGGCCGGCUUCUCUGGCCUUUUAACCGGACGUGUUUCCUUCCUUAACGGGAGGGGGACCGCCCACUUAACCAAAGGUUGACCUCGGAUCAGGUAGGGAUACCCGCUGAACUUAA
rnacentral:misc_RNA from 1 species